UUUGCCUUGCAUGCCACUAUUUUGAGUGAUUUAUUAAAGCCAACUACAUGAUCGUGCGUAGAACUAAUGAAGCAAAUAUACUUGUGUAUCAAAGUGGCUUUGCCAGAGCAUAUCAAACAGUUUUAAAGAGAGUAAACAAGCAAAUUAAUUGCCAAUUUUCUCACAGAACGUGGCUUCUUAAUCGGUGAGAACUUUAUAGACUUCCUCAAGAUUUUCAAUGACCGUAAACUAUCCGGAGUAAUUUAUCUUCUUUGCCCACGUUAGGAACAUCUGCAAAAAUUUACUUUUCCGCAGUUUUAGAGAAAGAACGCUUUUAUUUCUUGGGAACACUCGCUGCUUCUUCCAGGUUGUAGUCACAAUUCUCCUGUUUUUAUGGCGCUGGAAUUAUUCCGUAGCAAUUAAUCCCAAAGUCCUAAGUAUGAAAAUGAGACCCAGAAGCAAAUUUAUAUGUACCCUCUUAUUUAUAUGUACCCUCUUACCUUCCCUCCUUUCCCAUCCCUAACACACAAACAGUUUCUCAGGGUAAAGCAUUUGGGGAAAAUAGUCUGAAAUGAGACUCACAAGUAGGGUUACUUUUGGGUUAAGAGAGGUUUCCGUGCUCCCCUUUGCACCCCAGGGUCAAGCUCCCCGAGGGCAGGUCAUGCUGGGCCACGCGCACCUGCAAUGCGGUGCUUUGCACCUGGUAAGUGAUUAACACCGGGGUUUUCCCUCUAAUCCGUCCCCUGCCUUUUUAGAUCAUGGGAACGCCAUGUGCACCACCGUCUGUCAUUUCAUGAAUAUUUUAACAACAAAAAUAUGUUCUUUAUAUUAAAAACAACCCCUACGCUUCUUCAUAACAAUCGCCAUCCCAUGAGGCGGAACGGAAGCUGUAACCUGAUGGCUAGAUUUUUGUAUCUCUGUGUGGGAACUUGGAAAGUCAAGUCCAUUUCAUAUAAAAUAUAAAAUAUGUUUAAGAUGUUCUGUAUAUGAGGCAUAAAGUUCCUGAAAAUGGGUUAUUUUUAAUAGGAGAUGUUCAAGGUCCAAAACUUAAAGAGAGGAAGAUCCUUUGAAGAGGACUUUGAAGAGCACUUUGCAGUAUUAAUAAAGGGGAAAAGGAAGUUAAAAAAGAAGUUAAGCGUAGGUUGCCAACCUAUCUUUUUAAUAGUGGUCCAAAAAAAGACACAGGGUCACUGCCCUUUCCCUGAUGACCAUAUUCCAGGGAUACUGUGAGGUAUUUGAAAUCUCAAGUAUGUUUUAAGCAUUUAACUAGCCCUUACCCAUUCUGUGACUUUCUCAUGUCCCCCCUACCUUACUGGUAUGUCAGAUUUUAUUUUUAUUUUCCUAGAAGACAGCUUUUUUUGUGUGUACUUUUUGUGUACUUCUGAUGACCAAAGGAUUCAAACCAAACCAAAAUUACCUUUGGAUAAAGUACAUUUAUUGGCCUAACUCGGAAUAAUAUGGAAUCUAGAAUGUGAAUAAAAUUUAUUUUUAUUUCUAUUUCUCUAUGUUUCUCUGUUUACAAUUUGUGAUCAGAUAUUUUAGGGUAAAGAUGUUUAUUUUCUUUCCUGAUAUUUAACAAAACAAAUUUCUUUUUAAUUGCUAGAACUUAAUCAAGAUUUAAUGCAUAAGAUUUUAGUUUCUGGCCAAAAAUUUUGUUCAUUUUACAAGUUGAUUGAAUUCUUUCUUAAUGUAGGAUUUUGUUUCUUUAAUAAAGAUGAUACUGUAUUUUAAGAAACCUCAUACAGGGUUAUUAGGAAAUAGAUGAAAAUGUUCAAAAGAUACAAACUUCCAGUUAUGAGGUAUACAAAUUAUGGGGAUGGAAUACAAAGUAUGCUGUCUACAGUCAGCAACUUCCAAAUAUAUAAUACAGUGCUAUUAAGAAAGUAGAUCUCAAAAUUCUCAUCACAAGAAAAAAUGUGUAAUUAUGUGUGGGGAUGGGUUUUAACUAAAUUUAUUCCUUUAGCAAUAUAUACAUACGUCAAAUCAUUAUUCUGUACACCUAAACAAAUACAGUGUCAUGUGUCAAUUAUACCUAAGUAAAAAAUAGGUAAAAAUAAAAUAAAAUAAGCUAAUACAGACUCUCAGAAAGGCUUGUCUUGGAAGAGGUUCUAAGAACGUAGUCAUAAAUACUAAAACUGUCUUAUGUGAAAUAUGCCAUUGAGUGAGACAUUAAAAUGUGUUUAUCACUCUGGGCAGUUAGCGUAAUUGGUUAAAAUAUGGAAUGAGCAGAUGCAGUACUCCCAUUUUCCAUGACCACCGACGGAUUUUCCUGCCCUGGCCAAAGACCUCUCAGAGAUGUGCCACGGAGGCUGAAUAACAUAGUAUGCACCUGUCUGCAGAUUCAUCACCAGCAUGAAAACAGCAAACUGACAAAGACUCUGCUAUUGUAGAUACUGGCGUGUUUGCAGACCUAAAAGGAUAUGCGACUUAGGGUUAGAAGGCCUGGAAAUGAGUCAGCUUUUGCCACUCAGGUAUAUGAAGUAAUCUUGGAACAUCAUUUCACCUUCUUGAGCUUUGUUUCCUGUGGAUAAAAUAAACAUAAGAUUAACACCCCCAUCACAGGGCCUUUCUGAGAACUGACUGUAGUGAGUAUAUCGAGAAAGCCCUUUUUAUACAGCUAUACAAAUCUGGGUCAUUUGUCUCAUUGUUAAGGUGAUUUGUUUUCCUUUGUACAUCGUGGUAGAAAAAAAUCAGCUCGAUACUCUACGAGUCUUCUGGAGAGUUACAGAAAUAAUCUACAGUGGGGAAAACGUGCCUACUAACUAUCUAAUAAGAGCAUCCAGUCCUUUAAGAAAUAUUCACUUUAUUUCUACUACAUGCCAAGUACAAUGGCAGAUCCUGAGGAUACAGAGAUAAAAGACCACUGCCUUCUCUCAAAGAGGCUGCAGUCUACUGGUGAAGACAAAGAAGGAAACACACAACAUCUCUUCUAACCUAUUACAGUCUCUGAUAGAGCACGUGAGAUGGACAUAAUUUAGAAGAGAUUAGGCAGCGGUUCCUAGAGAUUGUGACAAGCUGAGUACUUGAGAGUUAUGAGAAAGAGAUGUGUGAACCAAGACCCCGGAAUCAAGAUAAAACGCACCGAAUUCUGAAAGCUAAAAAUAGUUGAAGGAGAUGGUGAAGUGCGCUAAUAUUAUGACAGCAUGAGAUGAGGCUUAAAGGGUGGAGGAAAUUGAGAUCCUGAAGGGUUCAAUAUUCACUGCUGUGGACUAGUUUCUAAAAAAGAUGCAACACUACUGAAAGGGGUAGUGAUGUGACUGUAAGUGCAUUAAAAAAAAAAAAACGCUCUAAAUAAAAGGCAUACAGAUUGCAAAGGAAGAAAUAAAACUGACAUGAUUCCCUACAUAGAAAGCCCAAGAACUAAUCCGUUCAACAGAAUUGCAGGUACGUGAUCAACUGAACCUCUCUAUACUAACAACGGACAUAUGGAAACUAAGAUUUUUAAAAAACACGCAAUACCAGAUAUUUAUAAUUGCCCAAAAGAAAAUGAAAUACUUAGCAUAUAUCUAAUAAAAUAUAUAUGGGAUCUGUAGCUUGAAAAUUGCAAAAUGCUGAUGGAAGAAAAAGAAGAGCUAAAUAAAUGGAGAGACAUAUGGCAAUCGUGGAUUGAAAGACUCUGCAGAGUAAACAUGUCUCUUCCCCCAAAUUAAUUUAUAGAUGGUCAUGCAAUGUGUAUUUAAAUCCCAGUGAGAUGUUUUAUAGACAUGGAGAAGUUCAUUCUAAAAUGUAGAGAGAGGGGAGCUGGAUCAGUCGGUUGAAUGUUGACUCUUAAUCUCAGCUCCACUCUUGAUCUCGGGGUCCUGAGUUCAAGCUCCCCACCCACUUAAAAUAAAUAAAAUAAAACAAAAUGUCCAUAGACAGACAAGGACCUAGGAAAACUUCAUCAGUUUUGGAAAAGAGUAAUAAAGCAGAAGGAAUAACUGUAGUUGAUGUUAAGUGUUACUGUGCUUUAGUGAAGAGAUAAGACAAUAUCCCUGGAACAAUAAAAAAAGGACCUAAGAAUAAGCUACCAAAAUGCACCCAACUGAUUUUUGACAAGGGUGCAAAAGCAAUUCCACACCCGAGAGAGAGGACUGUCAACAAAUGGUGCUGAAGCAACUGGAUAUCCAUAGGCCAAAAAAAUAAAAAGGACCUUGUCUAAACCUCAGACCUUAUGCAAAAAUUAGCUCAAAAUAGAUCAUAGACGUAUAUAUAUAAAAUGUAAAACCAUAACAUAUUUAGGGGGGGAAAAGGCAAAAUCUUUGCUGCAAAGGGUGAGGCAGAGUCAUUAGAUUUGACACCAACACCAUGAUCCAUAAAAAAGGAAGAAUGGACGAUCUGGACUUCAAUUAUUUUUUCUUUUGCUUUGCAACAACUCCUGUGAGGAGGAUGAAAAGACAAGCUACAGAUUUGUAAAAAAUAUUUGCAAGGGGCAUAUCUAACAAAGGACCAUUAUUUAGAAUACAUAAAGAGCUCUCCAAAGUCAGCAGUGAAAAAGCAAACAAUUCAAUUAAAAAUGAGCAGACACAGAUCGUGCAUUUGGUGAAGAAUAUACAGAUGGUAAAUAUGUGCAUAAAGAUAAGUUCAACAAAAUUAGCCAUUAGGGAAAUGCAAAUGAAAACCACAAUGAGAUGUCACAACACGCCAUCAGAAAGGCUAAAACAAAAAAUAGUGAGAAUGCCAAAUGUUAGCAAGUAUGCUGCGAAACCAGCUCGUUUAGAGUUUACCGGUGGGAUUUACGGCCGCUCUGGAAAAGACUAGGGCAGCUCCUCACAAAACUAAACAUCCACUUGUCAUACGACCCAGCGGUUGUGCUCUUGGGCAUUUAUCCCAAAGAAGCAAAAAUUCAUGUUCACCCACUAACCUGUAACGAGAAUGUUCACAGCAGCUUUAUUCAUAAAAGGCCCAAACUGGAAUCUCUCCAGAUGUCCUUCAGCAGGUGACUGCUUCAUCCAAGUGCGGUA
rnacentral:lncRNA from 1 species